rnacentral:snRNA from 1 species
AUUGUUUCUUGGCCUUUUGGCUAAGAUCAAGUGCAGUACCUGUUCUUAGCUUACUAUCUGAUAUCUGGUGACUGAGAUAGUAAAGAAAGUGCCUGCAGUACAGGAGACCUGAAUUCAAUCCCUGUUUGGGAGGAUUCCCUGGAGAAGAGAAUGGCAACCCACUCCAGUAUUC